AGCGGGGUGGGGAAGCCAGGUGAUCCCGGCGGGCUCAUAACCCGCAGAGCGGUUUCCACUUUUGCAUUUCGCACGUGGCCGCAGGUUCAAAUCAACCCCCCGCUA
rnacentral:tRNA from 1 species